UCUCCCUCUGCCAAAACAACGGACCCACAACUACCCCCUACUCCCUCAUCUUCCUCCUCCCAAAAACCAGCCACCGUCUUCCCAUCUCUACCCCACAGACCCAGCUUUCCCUCCUUCAACCGACCUCCAGCAGCUGCAUACACACAGUGGCGCCCGCGGAAGCAGCCCCAUCGCCAGCCUUCACAGAUUGCCCCCUUUUCACAUCCUUCAGCUCACGGACCCCCGUCUCCUCCCACACUAGCAGCCCAAGCACA
rnacentral:lncRNA from 1 species